GAUGAACGCUGGCGGCGUGCCUAAUACAUGCAAGUCGAGCGAACAGACGAGGAGCUUGCUCCUCUGACGUUAGCGGCGGACGGGUGAGUAACACGUGGAUAACCUACCUAUAAGACUGGGAUAACUUCGGGAAACCGGAGCUAAUACCGGAUAAUAUAUUGAACCGCAUGGUUCAAUAGUGAAAGACGGUUUUGCUGUCACUUAUAGAUGGAUCCGCGCCGCAGUAGCUAGUUGGUAAGGUAACGGCUUACCAAGGCGACGAUGCGUAGCCGACCUGAGAGGGUGAUCGGCCACACUGGAACUGAGACACGGUCCAGACUCCUACGGGAGGCAGCAGUAGGGAAUCUUCCGCAAUGGGCGAAUGCCUGACGGAGCAACGCCGCGUGAGUGAUGAAGGUCUUCGGAUCGUAAAACUCUGUUAUUAGGGAAGAACAAAUGUGUAAGUAACUAUGCACGUCUUGACGGUACCUAAUCAGAAAGCCACGGCUAACUACGUG
rnacentral:rRNA from 1 species